CCUACGGGAGGCUGCAGUGGGGAAUAUUGGACAAUGGGGGCAACCCUGAUCCAGCCAUGCCGCGUGUGUGAAGAAGGCCCUCGGGUUGUAAAGCACUUUCAGUGAGGAAGAACGCCUGGUGGUUAAUACCCAUCAGGAAAGACAUCACUCACGGAAGAAGCACCGGCUAACUCCGUGCCAGCAGCCGCGGUAAUACGGAGGGUGCGAGCGUUAAUCGGAAUUACUGGGCGUAAAGCGCGCGUAGGUGGCUUGAUAAGCCGGUUGUGAAAGCCCCGGGCUCAACCUGGGAACGGCAUCCGGAACUGUCAAGCUAGAGUGCAGGAGAGGAAGGUAGAAUUCCCGGUGUAGCGGUGAAAUGCGUAGAGAUCGGGAGGAAUACCAGUGGCGAAGGCGGCCUUCUGGACUGACACUGACACUGAGGUGCGAAAGCGUGGGUAGCAAACAGGAUUAGAUACCCCUGUAGUC
rnacentral:rRNA from 1 species